rnacentral:tRNA from 1 species
ACAUUAGUGGUUCAGUGGUAGAACUCUUGCCUUUCAUGCAGGAGACCCAGGUUCAGUUCUAACCAAUGCA